rnacentral:lncRNA from 1 species
GUUGUUUAUCCUGGUAGGACCCUUGGAUCGUCCAACUUUUGGAUUUCGAGUUUAUGUUUAUGCUAGGCCAUUUGUGUUUAUUCUAUGACAGUUUGUGUCUAUUGUAUGAUAGUUUGUGUUUAUCAUAUCAAUGGUCUCAUAAAAGUGAUUAUUACAACUUUCAAAGUUUAUGGAUAGUUUGUUGGGUUGUUCAUAUUUACUCUAAUGAGUUCGUCUUUA